rnacentral:rRNA from 1 species
GAUGAACGUUGGCGGUGCGCUUAAUGCAUGCAAGUCGAGGGAGAACCAUUCGUUCCGUAAGGAUCGGGUGGGAAACCGGCGAACGGGUGCGUAACACGUGAGGAACCUGCCCCGAAGAUCGGGAUAGCCCGGGGAAACCCGGAUUAAUACCGAAUACCUUCCCACCUCCGCAUGGUGGAGGGAAGAAAGAGUCCGCUGCUUCGGGAUGGCCUCGCGGCCUAUCAGCUUGUUGGUGAGGUAACGGCUCACCAAGGCGAAGACGGGUAGCUGGUCUGAGAGGACGAUCAGCCACACUGGGACUGAGACACGGCCCAGACUCCUACGGGAGGCAGCAGCAGGGAAUAUUGCACAAUGGGCGAAAGCCUGAUGCAGCGACACCGCGUGCGGGAUGAAGGCCUUCGGGUUGUAAACCGCUUUCAGGAGGGACGAAAAUGACGGUACCUCCAGAAGAAGGCCCGGCCAACUACGUG